rnacentral:lncRNA from 1 species
GCAUGAGGCACCUACAGGCAGAGGAUUAAUUAGGUUUUCAGUUUCAGUUUCCCAGAAAGGAGGUGUCUCUGUGGUGACGAGCAGGGCUUCAUCCAGUGCCUCUGUCCCCACCGAGGGGACUAUGGGAGACAUGGAGGGUGUGUGAGCAACAGGUGAGACUGGAGCCAGCUGAAAACUGGGAGACCGACCCAGCCAACAAACAAUGUCGGUCUCUGUCUUGGCACCUGCAGGAAACAAGCUCCUACUUCCAGAAAAAGUGCUCCUGGGACUCCAGGAUACCAGGCAUCUGGGUAAGCUACAAUGCUUAACCACUUAACACAAUCAGGAAGCAACAGCCAUGCAUUCGGGAAAGGAACUUCAGUGUUGUGUGGCUCAGUCUCCAGACCUAACUUUCCCUUUGGUACAGACGCGGUGGUACAUGCCUGUAAUCCCAACACUUAGGCAGGAGGAUCACUCGAGCCCAGAAGAUCAAGACUAGUGUGAGCAACAAAGUGAGUUUCCCCCCACCCCUCACCUCAACAAAACAUUUAAAAAUUAGCUGGACAUGGUGGCUGCGCCUGUGGUGGCUGGAGUGCAGUGGUGU